AUUUAAUUAGAGAAAAGAAGAUUAUUUACUCAUUUUUAACAGAAGUACCCCAAAAUUUACCACAUUUUCAGUGCAGUGUCUUCUUGAAGUAUGAAGUCAAACUAAUUCAUUAAAGUAUUUUUAAUAAAAACUAUAGUAAGUAUAUGUUGGCUGGAACAUUUGUGAAGACAAAUUAAUAUAUGAAAGCUACCCAGAGCAUAGUAACCCAUCCCACCCUUAGUAGGGAAACAGAAUCUUUCCUUUUUUAACAUGUACCAUUAGACUUUAUGUGAAAUAUUUACUGUAUGUUGCAUGACACAUAAACGAACAAGAUUUACAAAUUAUACAAAAGAAGCAGCGUAUAUAAUACCGACAUGGAGUUUUUGAGAAGAUACUGGUUUUCCAGGUAAAGCAGUCUCUAAUAAUAUGUCAACCCAGAAAACAUAUACAGAUGCUAGCUAGCCUUAGAUACACUACUUAUACAUUUAAAAAAAUAGAUGGGAGGGUCAAGCAAAACUUACAAAUUUGGUAAUUUCCUACUCUCCAGAUAUUUUGAACACAUCUAAGAAAUUUAAACA
rnacentral:lncRNA from 1 species